rnacentral:rRNA from 1 species
AGUGAAUAGAUACCCUGGUAGUCCACGCCCUAAACGAUGUCAACUAACUGUUCGAAGUCACUAAAGAUUUUGAGUAGUGAAAGCUAACGCGAUAAGUUGACCGCCUGGGGAGUACGGCCGCAAGGUCGAAACUCAAAGAAAUUGACGGGGGCCCGCACAAGCGGUGGAGUAUGUGGUUUAAAUUCGAUGCAACGCGAAGAACCUUACCCGGUCUUGACAUGGUAGGAAUCUUGUAGAGAUACGAGAGUGCCUUCGGGAACCUACACACAGGUGCUGCACGGCUGUCGUCAGCUCGUGUCGUGAGAUGUUGGGUUAAGUCCCGCAACGAGCGCAACCCUUGCCCUUAGUUACCAUCAUUUAGUCGGGGACUCUAAGGGGACUGCCGGUGAUAAACCGGAGGAAGGUGGGGACGACGUCAAGUCAUCAUGGCCCUUAUGACCGGGGCUACACACGUACUACAAUGGUCGGUACAGACGGUCGCAAGCUCGCGAGAGUAAGCUAAUCCGAGAAAACCCGAUCGUAGUCCGGAUCGCAGUCUGCAACUCGACUG